GGGAGCGGAGGCGCCUCCUCACUUGGCUGUGCGCAAGAAUGUGAGUGCGGCACACUGUUCAUAAUUUUCAGCAGCUAAAAAGGGGGGUUUUGAUGAGGGGGCUGCAAGUAACAAAUUGUCCUAAAGAUCUUCUCUUUUAUUCUGUCAUGGAUUCACAAAGUUACACGGAAACCAGCGAGGAGAUACGAACACUCAUUCAGCUUCCUCUCUGUGAAAAAAAGAGGAAGGAGUGAAAAUGUCUGGUGAGUCUGUACAUCAACUUUAGAUAGCCUCUGAACUUGAAGAUGUGGCCAUUUUGGACCAAAUAGUGGAACUUUUUCCAGUAUCACAACAAAAAGUUAAUAAAUACAACUUUUUAGAUUAUAGUUUUGCUUUUACUUUGAACUAUAGUUUGAUCAAUAUGACUUGAAGGGUAAACGUUUGAUAUAAGAAGCAUAAACUGCAGUGAUGUACACAAUAAUAAGAAGAAAUCAUCCAAUUCUAGUCAUACUUUUUUACAAUGGAGGUCUGGCUUAUUGUGCUUUAUGGAUCAAUGAAGAAGAAACUCGAGAAAACAGUAAUCAUGGCUCAGAUUUGACAAACAUAAAGAAAUCGUUUGACCAUUAAGAAUAAAAACAGAAAGAUAUCAACGGCGAAAACACCAGAAACACUUCUACUAUCCGGUCACUGGAGCUAAAAACCAACCUUUCAAUCAUGUUUCGAUCCUGACAACCUCUAAAGCUGAUCCAUUAUUUAAGAGACAGGGAGCUAAUUAGGAAGAAGUAACAUGCUAACAGUAAUGUGGUGGGCGAGGAAACCCUCUGAUAUUCUCCUUUACAUGUAUAGAAAUGUAGGGGCCAUGAUAUGUUUUACAUAUUUAUGCUAUUCUUCCCUCCUCUGUAUCAUCAUGUUGGUUAACUUCACAGAGGGUAACGGCACAUAAAAGAACAUCCUCUCUUCGACUCUGGUCCUCUGGAGUGUUGAGGCAGAUGAACUCAAGGUUCUGUAUGGGUGGGAAAUAGAGCGCACGUAAUCUGGAGCGCGCAUCUUCCCCCUGCACUGGCUGCGGCAUUAAAUCAAUAUUCCGCAAAGCUUUCUCUUGUUUUCACAUUCACUUGACUGCUGCCGUGAUGCGCCGCAAGGGUCGAGCAGCCGCUCCCCGAAUUUUUGUGGCACUUGCCCCCCUCCUCUUUCUCUUCCCUCGUCUUCCACCUCCUCCUCCUUCACUUCACUUCACUUCACGGCAGACACCCUCAUUUGGAUGGCUCCAAGGCGAUGCGCCCAUUCCAUUUGUCUCGUGCGUUAACGCGAGGCGGCAGGAAUAAGGCGACGCGUUAUCUCGACACAAAACAUUAUCUUCGCCUCGCUCCUCCAACACCGUGAAACAAUGAUUAUUAACUGCUUGAGGAGCAUGUUCAAGGGGUUUUUCGAAGCUUGUCACCACACUUAAAGAACAUGAAAUAUAUUUCACAACACAUCCCCUGAACUAGAUUUUUGAAUUUCUUUGACUGAAGACAAAGCUUCCCCUUUUCUCGCCACUUGUGAGUACUUUCGGUGCCGCUUCGCUUGUCGCCCUGAGGGAAUACAGUUAACGGCAUUAUGAGUGGACUUGUGACAGUCGCACUUUUACCAGAAACCAGCCUAGCACUUCCUUUUUAAGAUUUAAAAGCCUGUCGUGCUGCAUCAUCUUGGUGUAAGAUUCUGGUUAUGCAUUCAUACGCACACACACACUCGCUCACACCCCAUCGUUAUGAAAGUAAAACCCUGCCUCUGCAAAAUGGGUCAUACACUGCAGUCACUUUAUCUCAGCAAAUGUAUUGUGCCUGUGCGAGAGGCAGACAUGCGCAUGUGUGAAUGUACAUCAAAGGAAUGACUCCAGUAUUAAACCAUGGGUGUCUUCGCUGAAACAGGGCUCGAGCAAGUUUAACCGUUCUGUUUUUCGGGGGGUUGCAACCUCGACGAUAUAGUUAGCCUGGAGAGCCAAAAUGUCAGACUUUCUUUGAUGCUUUCAAACAGCCGAGAGGAAGGUGCUCUGGCUCUGAAAUGAACUCUACUGGCGUCAUUUUCAUUCUACCGCAGUGCCCUGCCUCAGACGUCAGCGGUUUCGAGCAAACACAUAGGAUUUGCUUCAAACAUGGAAAAUCCAUUCACCUUUGGUUUGAGUUUUGAUGAUACACAGUCGGGCUAAUAGGUGCGCACGCUCACACACACAUACGCUCGCAGAUUUGUAUCCACUGUGGAGAAAAAUUUGAGCAGUGGGGUUCAAAGCUGUGCCACUCAGAGAAGGAAGACAGCUCUGUGCCAUCGUCUUAUAGACCCAUCACUGUGCGAGCUAAUCUGCAGCGCAUUCCAGCCCCUAUAUUUAGACCAAUGUUUUGUGAACACUUAGCAUAAUUCGCUGAGACGAAAGGAGCUUUUCGAAGCCGUUAACCCCAUCUCUUUAAAAUUCAUUUGGAGAUUUUUCCGCUUGAGUGUUCCAAAAACACCUGUUCUCUCCUUUGUCUUCCCAAGAAAGACUCACCAUUUCAAUGAGGAGAUAGUUUGUUAUGAAUGGAGAACAUAGUGCAGUGUGAGUGUGAGAACAUGCCGGAUGUGAAGAGGUAGUUGAUUUGCUCAGCUGCUCACAAAGGAAUUGCUAUCAGCUGAAAUUAGUUAAAAAAACAGAGGAAUUAGGUUGAGGGGGGAGAAAAAUACCCUCACUUUCUCAUAGUGCAUCAUGUGAUUUAUCUCUGCAGUGAUCAUCUUCAUUACACUCAUCUCAAUCACCACAUCAUUAAACACCCACUGAUCACGUCUGCAUGAAUUUAAAGGAAGCAAAUAUUCCUGGAACAAAUCUACACCUGGUUUUAAUUCAGCCCCAUUUAUUAUCAUCCAGGGAGUACAGCCGGUUUAAGUCCACGUGUGAAAAUGUGUGCGUGCGUGCAUGUGUGUGUGUGUGUGUUUGAGCACCAAAUGCUCUGAUCUGGUCCAGGUGGGCCAGAGGGAGUUGGUCAUACUAAAAGCCUUUACCUCCAUCUGCUGUGUGCCCUGCAAACACACACACAUUUCCACACAAACACACGGACGGGAUGGACUGUCUGGUUCAAAAGCCUGUCCCUUAAGCAUUGAACGCUAUACGCUUUGGCCACAGACAUACGCCACACUGGGGGCUCGUGUGGCAUCUGCCUCCCAGCUCAUGGAGCCAACGCAAGGGGCUGAGGGAGGGGCCGGGGGCCGAGAUAAGCUCUUCCUCCCCUGGUCACUGUUGCGCCGUGGGGACCGGACAGGCCUGGAGCCUCAGCUGAGCACGGCUGAUAAUAUCCACAUGAGUGUACAUGCAUGCGUUUGUUCAUAAAAGAGUGUGUGGUUUGUUUCAGGAGCAAACACAAUUAUGUUCAAAUAGCCAAACACUAUAACUUUGACAAAAACUGGCACUAAUAAAAGUCCGGCUAAUGCUGCGUUUGAGUUACUUCGGAAGUCAGAAGUCUGAGCUGGGAAUGACGUCUCACCCAAGUUACCAGCGUUUCGGAAGCAGAAACAAGAUGGCUACAUCUACGAAAGUUAUUUUAGCGUUUGCUUUGUCCGAAUAUCAGCACAAGGCAAGUGCUUAAAUAACUUUCAUAACUUGCCGAUUUUGCUUUUUUCCGACUUGGUAACUGAAACGCUGGUAACUUGGGUGAGACGUCAUUCCCAGCACGGACUUCUAACUCGAAUGCAGCAUUAGUGCCAGAAGUUUCCGCAAGUGCAUACAGUUAUGUUACCUUGUGAGAAACAAAAUCAUACGUGGUAUAACUCAAAACCAAACUUUCACAAACUCCAAUCAAGUGCAGAUCUACAAGUGUGAAAAACUAAUUAACUGUAACAUCUUGUUUUUACUCAAAAGUCUUUCCUAAAAUAAGGAGCCCUCUUUGAAAAAACAUCUCAGAUUGAAUGACAUUCUGCAAAUUGACUCAUCUCCUUUGUUUAUGUGUUUGAAGUCUCACAAAAAAAAAACACCUGCACAGGAGAUAAAUGAAGCGAUCUGAUUUGUACUUUCCUCAAAAUUCUUACAAGGGGAAACACAGUUUAAGAAAACAAAGUAUGAAAACCCCGUUAGGCAAGGCCUGUGAUAAGAACAGUACAUAACACUCACUUUAUUUGACAAUGACAUGAAACAACGCUGCCUCCACAACGGUGCUCAUUGUAUUUUUCAUCCUCAGUGUUUUUUUUUGUUUUUUUUUUACUCAUCCUCAUUUGCGGUGUAAGAUUAAUUGCCGUGCUGCUAACAGCAAAUCAAUCUGUUCCUGCUCACUUGCUCUAAUUCAUUGUUUAUUUAACAUGAGUGUAAUCUAGGCCUUUGUUGAAUGACAGAAAAUGGGCUCUCUCUACGCAGCAGCCCUGACCUUAUCAUUUUAACUUGUCAUAUUGGAAUACUCAUUUACUCAUCAUGUUAAGAGUCGCCUCACGUAAAGAGCCGGCGAGGCAAAUUAAAUUAAUGCCGGGCUACUUUUAAUCGGGUUGAUGUUUCAAAUAACAGAACAUGACAAAAAAGGUUAGGAGGAUGAUAGAAACACUAAUUGGUAAAAAGAUGUUUUUGAGACUGGAGGGAUAAUUCCUUGUUCUUCAUGUAAUGAUAUUAUAAUAUUGCACAGAACUGCGACAAUGAGGCCAUCCUCUGCUCCACACAACAUUCGACUCUUUCACCAUCAAUCUAAAUGAGAAGUUUAAUUUAACCACUUUUUACUACUAUAAUUACUUGCUUCCGUAGAUUGAAUAAUGGACAUGUUAUUCAGCUCUUCUUUUUGAGAGGUAAGCAGCUAGUGGGUGAUUUCCAAGGUACUCUCUGAUUACCAAACAUCAAAAUAGCUCUUCCUUCUUCUUUCUUUUAAUUUAAUGCUUCAGCUUUGAGGAAAGAAAGUUGAUGACAGCAUUGUUUAUUCUGUCAGCUUCAGAAGAGACAAACAUUAACCUGAGGAAGCUCUUACGUCUUUUUUUGGAAGGAGGUGACUGAAUUUAUGAGAGACAUGGUUUUGUUCAUUACAGCCCCUGUUGCAUAAUGACACUUCGUUUUUCUUCCUUAUGUGUCAGCAGAUCCUUGAAUCAGACUCAGUGUGCAUCAGUGUUGAUUUUGGCAGCUAUUUUAGAUUAAGUCCUCGUCAUUGGACUCAAAAGUCUCUUAGUUUUAUUCACAUUUUAGUCAUUUUUGUGCCAAAUGGUUGCAGUUGAUGAAAAAUCAAAUAGUUUUAGUCCAGUUGUAGACAGUUAAGAUUUUGGUCCUUACUGUUAGUCACAAUCUUUUCUGUCUUCAAAGUUAUUCAGUUUGUUAGAAGUUGGUAUCAAGGUUGUACUAGUGUUUCAAUCUGUAGUGUUUCACUCUCAACACUUAAACUUGUGUCAUACUGAGAUUCCUGAUCUUAACUGGAUGAUUUGGUUUUGACUCUCCUGCCAAUGCAAUGCGCUGAUCUAGUAAGGCAUAAAGAGGAUUAAUCUGUACUCCAAGUCAAAUAUUCUGUGUGUGGUCAUUAAGGAUUUAUAUAAUUUAUUUUAUUUUUUUCCUGUGGGGUGGGAGAUCUGGACUCAGCCCCCUUGAUGAGAAACAUUUACCUUGACAGUUUUUGUUAAAGAAAUUAACACUGGUGUGUAUUAAAAACUAGACUGAGAUCCUUUUUGGUGAUACAAACUCACAUGGAAAUCACUGCGUGGAUUGAAGGAAAUAGCAUGUUAGCCACUUAACAUCAGAUCUCUUAUACUGAAAAGUGAAAAUUUAUGUACUUUUAUAUCUUCAGGGGGCCUUAGAUGCUUCCACUCCACAAACUUUCACAACUUUCCCAUCAUCAAGACUUCUUCUUGUGUUUAGCCAGAUCAGGACUGAGGCUUUAAAAAUGGUGUUGUUACACCCACAAAAUCAGGUCCUUCGACUCUCUCUCUUUUGGGUUCGUAGAGUUGUUUUGGAAGGGAACUCAGUCUUGUUGCGGGAAAUUCUGUUCUAAGCAAUUCUUCUUCAACAAGGCCAAAGUUGAUGAAGACAGACUACCAAGAAAAAAGAUCCUCACUCCACUCUGGGGGAAGAUUUUAUGUUUUUGCUAUCGUUUUGUAUCCCUAUGGUUUGAAAGUGUGGCUAGAUUCUUACUUGUCUCACAGUUAUCCUUUAACCAGUUUGUGUUACAUUGCUAGGCAAAGUGACCAGUUUGCCCACCCAGCAAAAACAAAUAGCCAAAAACUGUGCGGCUUCACUUGUCCACAUCUCUCGUUUUUAUACAUUAUUACUACAUUAGCCUACUGGGGUGAGGAGUGCAUGUAGUGGCGAUGAAAGCGCCCUCUGCUGGCUCCUGCUAAUGCAGCGGUGUACUGUAUAAUUAUUAGCUCAACAGCUCACUACAAUUUAAUUAUAAACUUUUACGCAAGAGGUCGAAUGAAGGUUCGAAUUUCCGGUAAGAAGUGACAGCUAUUCAACAGAGUAGAAUGUUAGACUAGAUAAAUCGGCAAAAACAAAACACUCUUUGUCCACUGGGGGUGCCAUAAUCAAUGAAAACAGACAGCCACAGGAGCUUUGAAACUGUUGCGUUCCUUCCUAUUGCUUUCAGUAAUUAGAUAACACAUAACCACUGUAAGAAACCCCCUUUUUUUUGCUUUUAUUGUAGAUGAAUGCUGCUGCUUUGUAUUCGAUACUUAGCGGAAUAACUUGCUCAAAAAACAUGAAACUUUUAUACACUUUCUUGUGGUUGAAAGCUAACUGCCUUGGCGUCGUUGUACUCUGCUGUUUGCAUCUUUAUAUCAGUCAAGUGAUGAUAAUUAUUCUCAAUAAGAUGCAUGAUGGAUGAAGGGGGACUUUUCUGGUGUUUCACAAAGGAUGCCAGCUUUGACUCCAGGCAGUAAUGUGAUGAAUUGUGGCUGUGCUGCAUGCAGUCUGUUUCAGAGCCUUGCCUUGUUAAAUGAAAGAUUGCGAACAUGGUGUAACAAACUGUAGCUUGUCGUGCGUGUUUCCCUCAGAGUUAAAGCAUGAGUUUUGACAGGGGAAGAGAGAGAAAGAGACAUUGAGGGAAAUAUCCAGAGAUCCAGGUCAGCUGCGAGGCCUCAGCUGGAGUGGAGGGCUACACCUGUCGGCGCCUGGGGGCCUCUCUCUCCCUCUCUCUCUGUCGUCUUUCUGUCUCUCUCUUUCUGUCCAGCUGGACUUGCAGGAGCCUCUCAACCUCCCCCAACCCAGCUUGCACCUCCCCGGAUCCAGGCCAGUUCAGCCCAGCCAUGCGUGGCCAUCUCUGGGAAUUCAUUCCGGAUGCUUCCUGUUCAUUGCAUCCACUCCUCUCUCCCCCUUCUUUCUCAUUCUGUCACUCCACCCACACAACCCCCCAUCUGCAUGUCUUCCUCUUACGUGUCCUACAAGCCAUCUUCAUUUUCUCAUGCUCAUGACCAAAAAAACUUUGUUUUCUCUCUAUUUUUCAUACAUUAUGUUAUCUAAAGUAGGGGAUUUUUUUUUAAAUAAAGGGAUUCAAAUAAUUUAUAGACUAAAAGAAAAGCAUGUUUUUGGAUUUUUUUUUUCACAUUCAAGACCAGUAAAAAUUUUACAGUCAAUAUCUGACCUAGAUUAAAAAGGCCAAAGUUGGAGAAUUUUCCCAAACAAUACAGCCUGUUUUGUUGGGAAAGACGGGGAAAGGAAUAAUACAGAGUUUUCCUUCUCUUUCUGAAGUUUGAGCCGGAAUCACUGAGGAGUGCAGAACACAUUCCCACCUCUCCUGACUCCUGCUGUGAAUCCAAAGCCGCCUUUUAACACAGUCAGCAGAGACAGCAGCUGGAAACAUUAAAAUGCUACUACAAGCAUCCGCUUUAUUCAGAAAUUGUGCCUGUAGCCUACUUUUACAAAUAGUGCCUGUACUGUAAAAUUGUAGCUCUACAGUGUUGCUACAGUGUUGACUAAAUUUGCUGUGUCGGCUUAACAGGAGCAUCCCUUAGAUACUCUUGUGGCUACAAUUUUACUGACAAGUUCCAGAAAAACAUCCCCCCGAGAAAUAAAUAAUCACGACAGCCUAGUUUUUUUUUUUCAAAUGCAAGGGACAGGCACGAAAAAUAUUUUCAAAUUACUGAUAUCUGCCUUGGAAGAGGUGCAGCAAUAUCUACAAGCAACAUACAGGGUCUGUGUAAAAAGAUUAUUUGUGUUUCACUUUUAGCACUGAGAGAAUCAUUACAGCAACCAAAUAAGGAAACAAACAGGAUCAACGAAACAAAACUGAGAUGAUUUUAGAUUGAUCAAAACAAACUCUUAAAAAGCCAAGAAAAAAAAGAAGUUGGCUAAAACAGAAACAAACGUAUUCUCAACAUGUUUACAAAUGCAGUCAGUAUUUUUUCUGAUAUUCUUGUGAUGAUAAAGUGAAGAAUAGUUGGCUGAAGCUGAUUAUUUAAGUCUAAUCUCUUAAAGCUUUUAUACACUAAAACACUCCUGAAAAGUUCCCUGAAUUCAGCAAAAAUCUUUGGGAUUUUAAGUGAACACAUGCACAUGGAUUAUACUUUCUUUAUAUAAUCUUUAUCUGGGCUAAAAAGUGGAUUUAAAGAUGACAUAAGUACACAUGACAUUUUAAAAAAAACAUAGGCUUGUAAAAGGAACCCACCUAACACUGAAAAUAAUGUACCUAAUUUAGCUACUACCCUAUAAUAAGACAAAGAGAAGGAAAUUCCUGUUAGAUCUAGUUUCUACAAAAAAUCUUAAAAAUGACUAAACAGAUGAGUCCAAUUAAAAAUUGUUCAAAGCUGAUUCUGUUGACUUAAUCACGUAAAAGAUAAACCGAAGAGGCCCCAGGAUGAAGCCUUGGGGAACUCCAUGUGUAGUUUUUGAUGUGCUGUAUUUUUCCUUAGAAAUCGUCGGACUCUGCAGCUGAUCGCAAGAGUUCUAUUUUUUCCGGACACCGGAGCAUAUUAACCAGUGCUGGAAAGGAAGUCGGCACAGACACAAAAUAAAACAUCCGGCUUCCUUUCAAAAUGAAACACUCUGUGUUUCAGGCGGUAUUGUAUUUCACAACAUGCAAACAGGCUGGGAUGAACAAGGUUUAUAGACAGCAUUUCAUCCCAAUGACACCAUGAAUGAGUAGAUGCGGAUUCUAAAAGUCUAGAAGUAGAUUUCCUCCUCUGGAAAGACAAGAUCUACUGCUUAUAUGGUUAGCCUAUGUGGCUAAAGACAACUUGUUAUUGCGCGAUUGCACGUGAAUCCACGGGGUCCUGUGAGUUUUUGCGAUUCCUGCUGUCUGUCAUCCGCCAAGAAAUUCAACUCACAAACGGACCCGGUAGGACGGCGAAAAUCGCUCCCAUUCCAGAUCGGAGCUGUUUCCCUUGUACAAGGGAAUCAACAAUCUUUGGACUACUUCUGCAACCAAAGGUGAUACACACAAACAUGGUAAAGUCUAAGAUGACGGUCAAGGAAUGAAGGAAUGACACUGGUGAGGCUUGGAGUGAAUGAGCCAGAAGUGCAGAAGAGGCCCAGGAUUAGUCUCUUUUUACUAGACUAUGUCUGAGUGGCCUUGCCUGUAGGGCUGAUUAAAACACAGAAUAAGACGGCUUGUGGAUUAGAAAUGUCAUGAACCUCCUUUGCUAACAAAGGACGAAUGAUAGCAGGCUCCUUCAAAGUGGGCGAGAGGUUAUGGCAGGUGUGUGACAUGUGAGGAGGUGUAUUCGUAUCAGGAUAGAAACUGUGAGUGAUACUAUUCAGGAGUAAUUAACAAACUGUCUGGAUGCUCUUUUUUUAGAGCUGUCAUAAGAGCCUUUACUUUAACAGGUGUGUUUAGGUGCUGCGAUAGUUCAUCAACAGGUGUGGUUGGGUUGUGAGGGCAGGUGCUCCUGGCAUGAACACCUCAGCAGAAGGUGCAGACAUGCUUGAGGCAGCAGCUGGAAAAGGUGCAUUCAGAGGGAUCAGAAUUGUUGCGCACCUCCAUAACUCACAAGAGAGGGAGGUAGGGGCGGCAAAGAUGGGGCCGUACAGUUCAAAGUCAAAGGUCACCUCCAGUAUGGACCUUAAUUAAACUGCAGGAAGUGGCCAGCUGCUUGGUUAGCAAAACGCACAUAAUUGCAUGUCAAGGAUAGCAUACAGAUAACUAUCAAGCUCAGAUUUAUGUGUAGGGAUGGUUGAACAGAUAAUAGUGUGGUAUUAGUUUGCAGGUAUCAAUAACGAAUAGCUGAAUUGCCUGAAAGAAUGAUAGCACAAUGCUUUGUUUGGGUGGCUGUAAAUGCUAACUCUUGAAACCAUGUUCCAAACAGAGUCCCCCAUUCAGUAAAUGUGUAAAAACUGGUAAUACAUAGAUCCUGUGAAAACAGUACAUUCACACAUACUCAUUAUGUUCCCAGUUUGUACUUAAGGCUAUGUUGAUGCUAUUCUCAUUCCCAGGCACAUGGUGCUCAUCUUCUUUUCUGUUGUGUUUCAUGCAAAGUUAUACUAUUAAUGAGCGGCCUGGCAUGCAUACUAGUGUUUUUUUAGAAACACAAAGUGAAGACUUCUCUGUUUUGGGCUGUUAAUGGAGCCUGAGUGUUCUCUCUCUCUCUCUCACCUUGUCACAAUACUAAACUGCUGGACUGCCUAUUUUCUCUCUUAUAACAGUAAAGAAAGAAUAAAAAGCUAACAGUAAUAGGUUUAACAUGAAAACAGUCAACUGUCAGCCUGCAGUGUAGAAACUUGGACAUGGUUUAAUGCCUUAUAGCUUGUUUUAUAAUACAGUUGAAGGACCAGGAAACACCAGCUUGUUCUGGCGGACCCAAACACAGGUAUUUUACUUGCUAAAUGUGUCCUGUCUGGUUUAUACCUUGCACACGCUUGUAAAAAAUCUGCCAUUUAACCUCCUUGAAUCUCCAUUUUGUCCUGAAGCAAGAAGGAGCAGAGAGUUGGAUAACAGUAAGCUUAUUCUCUCGCUGCACUCACACCACAUCCUAUCCUACACGCCUGCUGCUGAAUUAUUCAGCUGUUUGUACCUGUGAGGCAGCCGGCCCUGUUAAGGGCUGCCCCGGUAUGAUCUAUAAUUAAAUAUAAUGCAACAUGAAAGUGCAUAAGACAUGAGACUGGGGUUUGGACAAGUCACUCAGACUUCCUCCUAGUUAUCCAUUUUGUGUUAGUUCUUGUGCUGACUGCAGCUGUUUUAGGAGUAUUUAUUUUGGUUUUUUCCUUUUUUUUUUCUUCAGGCGUGUGCACACUGUAAUAUUUCUGUCUCUUUAGCCUGGCUUCUGUCUUGAAUGUUUGCGAUCAGCAGUUGACAUUAUGGGGGCAAUAUGAUCAUGUCAUGUUUGAUUAUGCUUUUAUUGUCUCGCUCUUCCCUAAGUUCACAGUAUUACACCCAAUAGGGCCUCCGUCUUCUGUAGUUUGUUUGUUUUGUCCCCCUCAAGCAGCUCACUUGUAAAGCUUUCGAAAGCUCACACUCAGACAUAAUCCUGCCGUGCGUUUAGAAAUAUGACCGUAACAAAACUGUUUACAGGCUCACGAAAAUUGACCGUUUGGGAUACGUAAAAGUCAGCAUCCAUGCAUUGUUCCCCACAAGCAUGCAACACUCUGGGAGGUAGAUGCAAACAGUUACCUCGACUACAUUUAUACUUAAAUUGACAUUUAAGAGUUUUUUGAGUCAAGGAUAAAAUAACCGUGGACUAGGACUGUGUAGGAAAAAAAAGAUCAAACAGUUUAAGGUGUUUCACAAAUGAAGAAAUCUCAGUUUCAGUUUAAGGCCUUAACCUCACACACACACAUAUAAUCACUCACAAAUACACACGCACCACAGUGGGAUCCUCGCAUCUGUCCAAAUGUGAACGGUAAUAUCUCCACCUUGCAGGCGGCAGUAGGGAGGGAAGGCUUAGCGGCUUGCUCACUUUCUUCCUUCACUGGCUGUGAAGUGGAGUCUGAGGUGUCAGGAGAUUUUUUUUUUUCCAUCCCCCCUCUCUCUUCUCCUCUCUCUCUAUCAGUCUCUCUUUCUCUCUCGGUCUUUUCACAGCGAGUACGUCUCUAUAGUGGUUGAGUCUGUGCUUUACAGGGAACACUGUGAGCGCCUGAUAAGAGGCUGAAAGCAGAUAUAUACAUCCUGGAGUGAGCCGCAGAUACACAGUCAGGGAGGCAGUAAACAGAUCACAAACAUUAUGUUUCCCUGAUUUACAUGUGCCAUAUGAUACAGAGGUGUAAACGCGGGGUGAUGGUUAAACGCUAGCUAACAUCUAUCUUUGCGCAUUUAGGGGAAAGGAGGCAUUCGUGAGGGUAAAUUUCAGUGAAAUAAAAUAGACGCCGUGCCAAGUCUCACUUUGCUCUCAGCUAAAUUGAAUUGACCCUUCCAUCAAUGUUGUGCCAGGAAAAAUUAUAAAAAUAAUUUCUGUCCACAGGCAAAAUAAACAGAGUGAGUGUUUAUUCCCUGCAGCCGUGUGUGUUCUGGGAGUAUUUAGAGAGUUGCAGCCCCCAGACAAGCUUUUACCUCUUCCUCUUUAUAAAGACCCGGCAAUUACUCUGGUUUGCUGACACCCUGAAUACCAAUACAACAAUGCCUCUUCUUUCACACACACACACACACACCAAACAUUUUACCACCACCCUUCCCACCCAAACACCCCUCACACCCCUCCUCAAAUACAAAGUUGCCAUGACUACAGCCAGAGUUCAUAAAUCCAAGCGCAGAGGGACCCUUGAUUCCUUGAAAUUAUCAGGAGGUUUUUGGGGGGGAUAGAUAGAGGUGGGGAGUGGAGGUUGGUGGGGGGGAGUGAGGGAUUUGGUUGAAGGAGGUAGGAGGAUAGAUAAAGCUUUGCCCCAUUCCUCUUCCUCCUCCUCUACCUCCUCCACCUCCACGUGCCCGCUACAGCAGAUGGUGCCGUGUGGCUCUGCCAUGCCACCGUGGCCGCCUUCUGCGGAUGGUCGCCAUAAGGAGGCAGGUUAGUUGGAGAUUUGGAGUGACAGUGUUUGGCAGGGGCUACAAAGAGAAGAUGUGAGGAGGGGGAGAAGGCGCUUGGUGCCGCGGGCUAACACGGAGGUAAGCUGCUGUUAUGUUGCUGUCUCUGUGAUUUAGUGACCAUGUGGUAGCAGAGGAAGCAGAGGUAGGAAGUUGGAGGCAAAGGUAGCUUCAGGUUCAUGGUGGACACCAAUCAAACUGUUCAAGUUUUAUGAUCAAUACUGGCGGUGGUUAUGUCAUUAAGUAUCACACCUCAAAAAUCCUGAGUUGAGUUUUUUUUUAAGCAGUAACAUAAAAAAUAUUUUAGAGCUGACGAUAUAAACAAACCAGACCAUUACAAUAGAAAUGACCUUUUUUCUUAUAUCAUAAUUCCUGUCAGCGCUGAACUACGAUUUAUCGCUGAGACGAUUUUUCUUUACAUUUUCCUUGAAAUCACAGAGAGUGAUGGUCAGAAGACAAGGUAAGGAAGUUGUGACAAAAUAUCACCAAACUACUUGCACAUGUACAACACAGGACCAAUAAAGAGAUGACAUGAACCAUUUUGUCCACAGGGGUCACACAUUGCGACAAAACACUUAAAGCUUCUGUGAAGAUCUUUCGGUUUGUCAUUUUGGUGCCUCCUGUGGACAAAGUUGUCUUUGCUUAUCUUGUUCUCCACAUGCUUGAUUUGGGUUUUUAACCACAGUAUUAAGAAAUACUAUAUAAAAUUAUCAAUAAUGCCACUGAUGGUCUUUAUGGUUUAAACAUUAUAAAAAGGCAUCAAUAUGAAUCUUAGUCUCUUUCAUAGAUUAAAAAAAAAAACUCCUUAGGGGAGCUUUAAGUUCUUUAUAAUGUUUAGAUAAUGCUUACUAAUAACAGGUAUUGUUCAUCUUGAACUGUUCGAUUGCGACUUAUCUAAUUUUAAAAAGGCAAUAUCUUGAUACUUUUGUUUUAUAAUUAAUGAUACCCUUUUUGUAGUUACCAACGGAUUUAACAGUAUAUUACAAACAUUUUGACAUCUUUCAUUUGAAAUGAGCUUUGAGGCUUUUCAAACCAAAACAAAACAAAAAAACCCUAGAAUUUAUAAUUUUUUAUUUUUUUUAAUAUGUCAGUUUUAUCCUCAGUAUUAUCCUCCUUUUUUCACCAAAAAAAGCACUAAUAGCUGGAAGGAAGCGUAAGGACACCAUAUAGGGGACAGGAAACAACAUGGGAGCCCAGUGAGCACUAACACUAAAUUUCAAUAUCAUAAUUGGGUUGAAAACAAAAAAGAGUCGGGAAGUCUGAAACAUAAUUUCAACAUUUUUUAAAUGAGCCGUACAAUUCAGUUAUGACACCAAAGUUUGAAGGAAACAGGCUUACUUAUUUUCAGGGUGAAAGGAGGAUAAAAAUGAAUACUGUGACUGCCAAUUGAUAUACAUGAAUGAGAGUUUGUGUUCGGAAGAGUUUAUAUAUAAAAGUCUCCAAACAAUUGUAUUAGUGCAGGUUUUCUUGAUGUGACAUUAAAACAGAUCAUGUUGACAUAUGAAUUAUUUUCGCUUAAUUCUCGUUCUACUAACCCGGCCUUGAACACAUCAUCAUAAAAUCGUGUGUCACCUCAGUUAAAUGACUGAUUAGCUUUUAUUUCUCUGACUCUGACAUGUAUUUUUCAACAUUGGAUUUUGAUUUUUCAGCUGCAGGACGUGCUAAAGUCCGGGUGUGCUUACCCCUGCUGUUUCGGGUGGAAGAGAAGGAUGACAGCGCCGCAGCAGCAGCAGCUGGAGUUGAUGGAGUUGUUUCAAGGUUCAGACAGUUAUAGAUGCUGCAUUUUGGCUUGAUUUGAUUUCAAUGCCGCGGAGGUUGUGUUCCCCCUUUGCAUUAAAUGAUUUUAUUUGCCUUAUGACUAUCUAUAACUUUGGUAAAAGUAACUGCCCACCAGAAUUCUUCUUUAUGUAAUUUAGUACCUGUUUGCUCACAAGACUUGAUAGCAGAAUAACCUUUGGACUGGUCUUCAAUAUCUCUUCAGGCCAAAGUUAUUUUCAAUUCACCAAAAAAAUGACAUGUUAACCCUAAAACUCUCAUCACUCUGUCAUCAACAGGUGGUAGAUCACAUUUGAGAUCGCUUGUGAACCCAAACUGAAGGCUUUUCACCUCCUAAAGGCAGCUGUGUGCAUUUGCAAAGCUGUGAAAUAAAGCUCUAAAUAUGAAACAUGU